rnacentral:rRNA from 1 species
UACGUGGGGUGCGAGCGUUGUCCGGAUUCAUUGGGCGUAAAGGGUGUGUAGGUGGCGCGCUAAGUCGGGUGUGAAAUUUCGGAGCUUAACUCCGAAACUGCAUUCGAUACUGGCGUGCUUGAGGACUGGAGAGGAGACUGGAAUUCAUGGUGUAGCAGUGAAAUGCGUAGAGAUCAUGAGGAAGACCAGUGGCGAAGGCGGGUCUCUGGACAGUUCCUGAUACUGAGACACGAAGGCCAGGGGAGCAAACGGG